rnacentral:rRNA from 1 species
CCUACGGGAGGCAGCAGUGAGGAAUAUUGGACAAUGGGCGCAAGCCUGAUCCAGCCAUGCCGCGUGCAGGAAGAAGCAUCUAUGGUGUGUAAACUGCUUUUGUACAGGAAGAAACACUCCCUCGUGAGGGAGCUUGACGGUACUGUAAGAAUAAGGACCGGCUAACUCCGUGCCAGCAGCCGCGGUAAUACGGAGGGUCCGAGCGUUAUCCGGAAUCAUUGGGUUUAAAGGGUCCGUAGGCGGUUUAAUAAGUCAGUGGUGAAAUCUGGUCGCUCAACGAUCAAACGGCCAUUGAUACUGUUAGACUUGAAUUAUAAGGAAGUAACUAGAAUAUGUAGUGUAGCGGUGAAAUGCUUAGAUAUUACAUGGAAUACCAAUUGCGAAGGCAGGUUACUACUUAUGGAUUGACGCUGAUGGACGAAAGCGUGGGGAGCGAACAGGAUUAGAUACCCUGGUAGUCCACGCCGUAAACGAUGGAUACUAGCUGUUCGGAGNAUCUGNGUGNGUAGACGAAGUAGAUAGUAUACCACCUACGGUAGGUACGUUCGCGAGAAGAGAACGACGAAAGAAGUAGUAGACGUGAGAGAGACGACGACGGACGACGACGGAGGGAGGAG